UGAAUAUAUUAGUGUUUACAAUGCCUUUAUUUUUUUUUUUUAGCCAUGAAGGGCAAACAGUGCCUUCAUUAAAUGUGUUCCUUUAAUGACAUCUUUAAUCUACAUAAUAAUUGUUUGCUUCCUUAAGUUUCUUCUCAUCAGCUGAAAGUUUAACUUUGCAAAUGGAAUAUUCUCAGAAGAGUGGUACUGUUAAUAGCGCUGAAUUCCUAACAAAAAGACACAAGAAGAUCUUGUGCAAAUUAACCAGGACCCAGGAGGAAGGCCAUGCUCAUUUGGCAAUGAAGACUUCAUCACACGCAGUAGGUGAAGAACUAAAAGAUCUUGAUAUGUGAUUGAAGAGCAUUUGCUAAAACUUUCCAUGGUAAUGAGCUAGGAUUAAUACCUGUGCUAAAGAAUGCACUGGUAAGUGCAGUAUCUCAAGAUAAGUUUGGAAGUAAUAACAAUGAAGUAUAUUGAAUUGCAUAGCUGUUUCUAAGGGCCAGUGAUGAUGAGAGGAGAAAAAAAAUUAUGAGGGUGAUUAACGUAAAGCAGAUUGAGAAAGCCAGAGGGCUUCUUAGAAGCAUAUAAAAGAACAGGGAACAGAAAGAGACUGAGAAUCUGGACCAAACCUUAAUUAUGAGACUACAGAUCUCCAAGAAAUGUUGAAUUGUUAAUUCUGGCAGUUCUGCUAUACCAAGAUGAGGACUCCGAUUGAGAAAGGGUAGAUACCUAAGGUUUAGGAUGAAGCGUAUGGAUUGAUGCACUUGAAAAUGGUAAAAUCUCAGUUUUUCUCAAACCUUCUGAGAUUACAGAAGUUUCUCACUCCUCCCUAUUAAAGUGAAGAUGUACCUCUUGCUUUAAGAUGAAGCAAAGGCUUAUCUCUCACACAACACAGGUUUCAUUCAGGAUCUGGCUCUAACUCCUCUCUGGUCCAACAGAUUUAAACUACAGCCAAGUCAUUUGUAACUCAGCAGACAAGGUACUGGGCCUCCUAAAGGAAGGAAGGACAUUACAUAUGAAAACAUUGCAGAAGCUAGCCAGGCAGGGUUUGGGUUGGCUGUGUAUUCCAUGAAAUAGUACAUUGACCCCCUUGGCCAGUAAUCUCAUGUUAUUCAGACUGUAUGAGCUCAGAAGGUGUGGGUAAACACAACAUAGUUUCUGUGUUUACCUCAGUGAAAUUUUAGAUUUCCAGUGGCGUGAGGCAUGCUAAAAUAGUCCAUUAAAGUAAC
rnacentral:lncRNA from 10 species